AACGCUAGCUACAGGCUUAACACAUGCAAGUUGAGGGGCAGCAUGGUCUUAGCUUGCUAAGGCCGAUGGCGACCGGCGCACGGGUGAGUAACACGUAUCCAACCUGCCGUCUACUCUUGGACAGCCUUCUGAAAGGAAGAUUAAUACAAGAUGGCAUCAUGAGUCCGCAUGUUCACAUGAUUAAAGGUAUUCCGGUAGACGAUGGGGAUGCGUUCCAUUAGAUAGUAGGCGGGGUAACGGCCCACCUAGUCUUCGAUGGAUAGGGGUUCUGAAAGGAAGGUCCCCCACAUUGGAACUGAAACACGGUCCAAACUCCUACGGGAGGCAGCAGUGAGGAAUAUUGGUCAAUGGGCGAGAGCCUGAACCAGCCAAGUAGCGUGAAGGAUGACUGCCCUAUGGGUUGUAAACUUCUUUUAUAAAGGAAUAAAGUCGGGUAUGUAUACCCGUUUGCAUGUACUUUAUGAAUAAGGAUCGGCUAACUCCGUGCCAGCAGCCGCGGUAAUACGGAGGAUCCGAGCGUUAUCCGGAUUUAUUGGGUUUAAAGGGAGCGUAGAUGGAUGUUUAAGUCAGUUGUGAAAGUUUGCGGCUCAACCGUAAAAUUGCAGUUGAUACUGGAUAUCUUGAGUGCAGUUGAGGCAGGCGGAAUUCGUGGUGUAGCGGUGAAAUGCUUAGAUAUCACGAAGAACUCCGAUUG
rnacentral:rRNA from 1 species